CACUCGUCGCUAAUUAGUACCCGCCAGGUAAAAGGUGGCGAUGAUAACGGCGUGAGGUUUAUCGUCCCGUACGAUGGAUAUCUCACGCACCUGUCUCCUGAGUAGUCGUAGUCUGAGGUGGGGUGAUUUUUUUUUUUUUUUUACAGCUAAGGACUCAGCUCAUGGGGAAACAACAAAAAGUGUAAAAAAAAAAAGCCCGCUAGUCGCUGUUCCCACAAAGAAAAAAUUGAAAAGUGGCCAAAAGAGAGGUCGAGGUCAAUUUCGGGUGGAGAGGUGUCUUGAUGCAAUCCUCUUGAAAGAUUGGGAAGGCGCCGGUGUAUUUGUAUCUUUGGACUAAAGUCAUAUGCAGCCAGUACUGAUAACGGUUAGAAUUUAUACCCCCCUCCUCCCCACCCGUGCAGUAAAUGCUUCACACACCUGUCUCUGAGUGGCCGUAGCCUGAGGUGGCGUGAACGGGAGGGCGCAGGUGUUUGCAUGAUUGAACAAAUGUCAUAUGUUGCCACCACCGAUGACGACUUCGUGUUUAUCUUCCUUGAAUAACAGAUGGUUCACACACCUGUCUUUUCGUUGCCAUGGACUGAAGUGGAGUGCAUGGUGUGUGUGCAUGUGUGAUCAAAUCUGCCGUUCGUAACAUUGUGAGCCUAAGACAACCUGGAAAUCAACUCGUCAGUCAGUCAGUCAGUCAACCAGUCAACUGCUCGUCUACCAAUCACUUUUUUUUUUCGGGAUGUCAGUCAGUCAGUAAGUCAGUCAGCCUUCCAAGGUUAUCUAAGGCUAAGGUUAGGACAGGGAGGAGGAGGGACCAGGGAAUAGAGGCAAGGGCAGGGAGGAGGGAGCAGGGAAUGGAGGCAGGGGCAAGGAGGAGGAGGGUAUGAUUUUUUCCUCCUUCACGCCCCCGCCAAACACGUCCGUUAUGGCGGCGGGCAGAUGUCAGUAAUGUAACACAGCGGCGUUGGCAAUGAUGAUGGCCGGCAACGCUGCUCGCCCGGCCGCCUGUCUAAAAAAACAACACA